rnacentral:rRNA from 1 species
CGACACCGCGUGGAAGGAUAGAAAUUUUUCGGAAUCGUAAACUCCUUUUGGCAGGAAUGAAACAAAUGACAGUACCUGCAGAAUAAGCAUCGGCUAACUACGUGCCAGCAGCCGCGGUAAUACGUAGGAUGCAAGCGUUGUUCGGAAUUACUGGGCGUAAAGAGUACGUAGGCGGUAAUGAAAGUCUGAUAUUAAAGACUGGGGCUUAACCUCAGGAGUGUAUCGGAAACUUCAUAACUAGAGGACAGUAGAGGAAAUUGGAAUUCCCAGUGUAGCGGUGAAAUGCGUAGAUAUUGGGAGGAACACCAGUGGCGAAAGCGAAUUUCUGGGCUGUUACUGACGCUGAGGUACGAAAGUGUGGGGAGCAAACAGGAUUAGAUACCCUGGUAGUCCACACGGUAAACGAUGGAUACUAGGUGUAACCGGCUUCGACCCCGGUUGUGCCGCAGC